CGGACGGGUGAGUAAUGUCUGGGAAACUGCCCGAUGGAGGGGGAUAACUACUGGAAACGGUAGCUAAUACCGCAUAACGUCGCAAGACCAAAGAGGGGGACCUUCGGGCCUCUUGCCAUCGGAUGUGCCCAGAUGGGAUUAGCUAGUAGGUGGGGUAACGGCUCACCUAGGCGACGAUCCCUAGCUGGUCUGAGAGGAUGAUCAGCCACACUGGGACUGAGACACGGUCCAG
rnacentral:rRNA from 1 species